AAAAGAAAUCAACCGAGAUUCCCCCAGUAGCGGCGAGCGAACGGGGAGGAGCCCAGAGCCUGAAUCAGUGUGUGUGUUAGUGGAAGCGUCUGGAAAGGCGCGCGAUACAGGGUGACAGCCCCGUACACAAAAAUGCACAUGCUGUGAGCUCGAUGAGUAGGGCGGGACACGUGGUAUCCUGUCUGAAUAUGGGGGGACCAUCCUCCAAGGCUAAAUACUCCUGACUGACCGAUAGUGAACCAGUACCGUGAGGGAAAGGCGAAAAGAACCCCGGCGAGGGGAGUGAAAAAGAACCUGAAACCGUGUACGUACAAGCAGUGGGAGCACAGAGCAAUCUGUGUGACUGCGUACCUUUUGUAUAAUGGGUCAGCGACUUAUAUUCUGUAGCAAGGUUAACCGAAUAGGGGAGCCGAAGGGAAACCGAGUCUUAACUGGGCGUUAAGUUGCAGGGUAUAGACCCGAAACCCGGUGAUCUAGCCAUGGGCAGGUUGAAGGUUGGGUAACACUAACUGGAGGACCGAACCGACUAAUGUUGAAAAAUUAGCGGAUGACUUGUGGCUGGGGGUGAAAGGCCAAUCAAACCGGGAGAUAGCUGGUUCUCCCCGAAAGCUAUUUAGGUAGCGCCUCGUGAAUUCAUCUCCGGGGGUAGAGCACUGUUUCGGCAAGGGGGUCAUCCCGACUUACCAACCCGAUGCAAACUGCGAAUACCGGAGAAUGUUAUCACGGGAGACACACGGCGGGUGCUAACGUCCGUCGUGAAGAGGGAAACAACCCAGACCGCCAGCUAAGGUCCCAAAGUCAUGGUUAAGUGGGAAACGAUGUGGGAAGGCCCAGACAGCCAGGAUGUUGGCUUAGAAGCAGCCAUCAUUUAAAGAAAGCGUAAUAGCUCACUGGUCGAGUCGGCCUGCGCGGAAGAUGUAACGGGGCUAAACCAUGCACCGAAGCUGCGGCAGCGACACUAUGUGUUGUUGGGUAGGGGAGCGUUCUGUAAGCCUGUGAAGGUGUGCUGUGAGGCAUGCUGGAGGUAUCAGAAGUGCGAAUGCUGACAUAAGUAACGAUAAAGCGGGUGAAAAGCCCGCUCGCCGGAAGACCAAGGGUUCCUGUCCAACGUUAAUCGGGGCAGGGUGAGUCGACCCCUAAGGCGAGGCCGAAAGGCGUAGUCGAUGGGAAACAGGUUAAUAUUCCUGUACUUGGUGUUACUGCGAAGGGGGGACGGAGAAGGCUAUGUUGGCCGGGCGACGGUUGUCCCGGUUUAAGCGUGUAGGCUGGUUUUCCAGGCAAAUCCGGAAAAUCAAGGCUGAGGCGUGAUGACGAGGCACUACGGUGCUGAAGCAACAAAUGCCCUGCUUCCAGGAAAAGCCUCUAAGCAUCAGGUAACAUCAAAUCGUACCCCAAACCGACACAGGUGGUCAGGUAGAGAAUACCAAGGCGCUUGAGAGAACUCGGGUGAAGGAACUAGGCAAAAUGGUGCCGUAACUUCGGGAGAAGGCACGCUGAUAUGUAGGUGAAGCGACUUGCUCGUGGAGCUGAAAUCAGUCGAAGAUACCAGCUGGCUGCAACUGUUUAUUAAAAACACAGCACUGUGCAAACACGAAAGUGGACGUAUACGGUGUGACGCCUGCCCGGUGCCGGAAGGUUAAUUGAUGGGGUCAGCGCAAGCGAAGCUCUUGAUCGAAGCCCCGGUAAACGGCGGCCGUAACUAUAACGGUCCUAAGGUAGCGAAAUUCCUUGUCGGGUAAGUUCCGACCUGCACGAAUGGCGUAAUGAUGGCCAGGCUGUCUCCACCCGAGACUCAGUGAAAUUGAACUCGCUGUGAAGAUGCAGUGUACCCGCGGCAAGACGGAAAGACCCCGUGAACCUUUACUAUAGCUUGACACUGAACAUUGAGCCUUGAUGUGUAGGAUAGGUGGGAGGCUUUGAAGUGUGGACGCCAGUCUGCAUGGAGCCGACCUUGAAAUACCACCCUUUAAUGUUUGAUGUUCUAACGUUGACCCGUAAUCCGGGUUGCGGACAGUGUCUGGUGGGUAGUUUGACUGGGGCGGUCUCCUCCUAAAGAGUAACGGAGGAGCACGAAGGUUGGCUAAUCCUGGUCGGACAUCAGGAGGUUAGUGCAAUGGCAUAAGCCAGCUUGACUGCGAGCGUGACGGCGCGAGCAGGUGCGAAAGCAGGUCAUAGUGAUCCGGUGGUUCUGAAUGGAAGGGCCAUCGCUCAACGGAUAAAAGGUACUCCGGGGAUAACAGGCUGAUACCGCCCAAGAGUUCAUAUCGACGGCGGUGUUUGGCACCUCGAUGUCGGCUCAUCACAUCCUGGGGCUGAAGUAGGUCCCAAGGGUAUGGCUGUUCGCCAUUUAAAGUGGUACGCGAGCUGGGUUUAGAACGUCGUGAGACAGUUCGGUCCCUAUCUGCCGUGGGCGCUGGAGAACUGAGGGGGGCUGCUCCUAGUACGAGAGGACCGGAGUGGACGCAUCACUGGUGUUCGGGUUGUCAUGCCAAUGGCACUGCCCGGUAGCUAAAUGCGGAAGAGAUAAGUGCUGAAAGCAUCUAAGCACGAAACUUGCCCCGAGAUGAGUUCUCCCUGACUCCUUGAGAGUCCUGAAGGAACGUUGAAGACGACGACGUUGAUAGGCCGGGUGUGUAAGCGCAGCGAUGCGUUGAGCUAACCGGUACUAAUGAACCGUGAGGCUUAACCUU
rnacentral:rRNA from 1 species